rnacentral:rRNA from 1 species
AUUGAACGCUGGCGGCAGGCCUAACACAUGCAAGUCGAGCGGCAGCGGAAAGUAGCUUGCUACUUUGCCGGCGAGCGGCGGACGGGUGAGUAAUGUCUGGGAAACUGCCUGAUGGAGGGGGAUAACUACUGGAAACGGUGGCUAAUACCGCAUAACGUCGCAAGACCAAAGUGGGGGACCUUCGGGCCUCACGCCAUCGGAUGUGCCCAGAUGGGAUUAGCUAGUAGGUGGGGUAAUGGCUCACCUAGGCGACGAUCCCUAGCUGGUCUGAGAGGAUGACCAGCCACACUGGAACUGAGACACGGUCCAGACUCCUACGGGAGGCAGCAGUGGGGAAUAUUGCACAAUGGGCGCAAGCCUGAUGCAGCCAUGCCGCGUGUGUGAAGAAGGCCUUCGGGUUGUAAAGCACUUUCAGCGAGGAGGAAGGCAUCAUACUUAAUACGUGUGGUGAUUGACGUUACUCGCAGAAGAAGCACCGGCUAACUCCGUGCCAGCAGCCGCGGUAAUACGGAGGGUGCAAGCGUUAAUCGGAAUUACUGGGCGUAAAGCGCACGCAGGCGGUUUGUUAAGUCANAUGUGAAAUCCCCGCGCUUAACGUGGGAACUGCAUUUGAAACUGGCAAGCUAGAGUCUUGUAGAGGGGGGUAGAAUUCCNGG